UACAGAGGUCUCAAGCGUUGUUCGGAUUCAUUGGGCGUAAAGGGUGCGUAGGUGGCGCCGUAAGUCAGGUGUGAAAUUUCGGAGCUUAACUCCGAAACUGCAUUUGAUACUGCGGUGCUUGAGGACUGGAGAGGAGACUGGAAUUUACGGUGUAGUAGUGAAAUGCGUAGAGAUCGUAAGGAAGACCAGUGGCGAAGGCGGGUCUCUGGACAGUCCUGACACUGAGGCACGAAGGCCAGGGGAGCAAACGGG
rnacentral:rRNA from 1 species